rnacentral:tmRNA from 1 species
GGGGCUGACAUGGAUUUGACAGCAAGCCUAGGUGGUAUGUAAGCAUGUCGAGCAAUGAGGUAUAAUCUCGUAAAACAUAAAUCUCACACUUUUUAACUGGCGAAAAUAACUACGCUCUUGCUGCUUAAUCGAAUUAUAGUAGAUUAGCUUCAUCCCUGCUCUAGGAGCUUGGACGAGACAUUUCCCGAGUGCCAAUUCCUGAGGCGGCUCGAUAUGGAGAUGUGGAAAUAUCGGGAAUAGCUUGCGAGCAGCCUCUGCUCAAUAGCGAAACUUAUAGAGGAUAAGGAGUUGUCAGGGCGUCUG